UACGUAGGGGGCUAGCGUUGUCCGGAAUCAUUGGGCGUAAAGAGCGUGUAGGCGGUCCGGUAAGUCCGCUGUGAAAGUCGGGGGCUCAACCCUCGAAUGCCGGUGGAUACUGUCGGGCUAGAGUGCGGAAGAGGCGAGUGGAAUUCCUGGUGUAGCGGUGAAAUGCGCAGAUAUCAGGAAGAACACCCGUGGCGAAGGCGGCUCACUGGCCCGUAACUGACGCUGAGGUGCGAAAGCGUGGGGAGCAAACAGG
rnacentral:rRNA from 1 species